rnacentral:rRNA from 1 species
AACGAACGCUGGCGGCAGGCUUAACACAUGCAAGUCGAACGCAUCGCAAGAUGAGUGGCAGACGGGUGAGUAACGCGUGGGAAUCUACCCAUCUCUGCGGAAUAGCUCUGGGAAACUGGAAUUAAUACCGCAUACGCCCUACGGGGGCAAGAUUUAUUGGGGUUUGAUGAGCUCGCGUUGGAUUAGCUAGUUGGUGGAGUAAUGGCCUACCAAGGCGACGAUCCAUAGCUUGUAUGAGAGGAUGAUCCGCCACAUUGGGACAGAGACACGGCCCAAACUCCUACGGGAGGCAGCAGUGGGGAAUAUUGGACAAUGGGGGCAACCCUGAUCCAGCCAUGCCGCGUGAGUUAUGAAGGCCUUAGGGUUGUAAAGCUCUAUCACCGGUGAAGAUAAUGACGGUAACCGGAGAAGAAGCCCCGGCUAACUUCGUACCAGCCGCCGCGGUAACAC